UAAAAAAAAAAAUUGAAUCAACAUCAUUGAUCGGAUUAAUCUGAUAAUCUCUGAGGCAAUGAUCUUUUCAGUUCGGAAUCCCAGUAAAAACUUCAUCAGCAUAUUUAUCCGAAAAUCAAUCUUUUUUUAAUUCUCCGAUUACACAAAAUUGAUCGGAAUAAUCCGAUAUUCUGUCUUGUUGUAAUUCUCAGAUUUCGACAUCAAUGGAUAAGUAAGAUUAGGUGUGGAUUCCAAACGUAUUCGAUCGAAUAUGGGUCUUCUUUACCAGGAAAACAAAUAAAAGAAGCCUAAAUGAAAGAUAAGGAUCCAGAACCCC